UUCUUCGUUGGUAACAUGCUAUAGAAAUACCCUCCUUCCUAUUCAUUUUUUCUUCUAUGCACAGAAAUACAGCUGGAAAACACGAAUCAGUGUACUUAGCAGGAAGAUAAACAAGACAUGUAUUCCAGGCAUCAUACAGCUUAGCCGUCAGUCAUCUCCCUGCAGUCAGACCACUGCUGGCAGUGAAUGUUCCUCUGCAUCUUGCUCUGAAGACAACAUCAAGAUUAAUGUAGCUUCAUCUGAUGUUAUGAGUGAGUCAGCACAAGCUAAAGAACAACAACCUCUUUUCCCCUCCCUACAGAAAGUCAACCUGGUAACACGUGAAGAAGGAUCAAAAGAUGUCCAUAAACAAGAUGAUCUGGUUAAGAAGACUGGAGUGCAGCGUUUGUUGCCAGCGGCUCAGAAGAAUUACGGGGUAAAAAUGCCAUUCAUUAAGGACCAAGAGAGUUUACUAUCAAGGAAGCAGAGACCCAGAAGGCAGAGGUAAGGGUACAAAUCUGUUUUUAAGCACAUUAUGUGCUUUAUAAACUCUGCUCUGUAUGUGGAAAGCAUUUGGCAUGCAAAUGUCAGCAU
rnacentral:lncRNA from 1 species